rnacentral:rRNA from 1 species
AACGAACGCUGGCGGCCGGCUUAACACAUGCAAGUCGAGCGCCCCGCAAGGGGAGCGGCAGACGGGAGAGUAACGCGUGGGAAUCUAACCAUCUCUACGGAAAAACGCAUGGAAACGUGUGCUAAUACCGAAUACGUCCUUCGGGAGAAAGAUUUAUCGGAUAUAGAAAAGCACGCGUUGGAUUGGCUAGUUGGUGGGGUGAAGGACUACCAAGGCGACAAUCCAUAGCUGAGUUGUGAGAAUGAUCAACCGACCUGGGACUGAGACACGACACAGACUCCUGCGGGAGGCAGCGGUGAGGAAUAUUGGACAAUGGGCGCAAGCCUGAUCCAGCCAUGCCGCGUGAGUGAUGAAGGCCCUAGGGUUGUAAAGUUCUUUCACCGGUGAAGACAAUGACGGUAGCCGGAGAAGAAGCCCCGGCUAACUUCGUGCCAGCCGCCGCAGUAAUAC